GAACUGAAGAGUUUGAUCCUGGCUCAGAUUGAACGCUGGCGGAAUGCUUUACACAUGCAAGUCGAGCGGCAGCGCGGGGGCAACCCUGGCGGCGAGCGGCGAACGGGUGAGUAACAUAUCGGAACGUACCCUAUCGUGGGGGAUAACACAUCGAAAGAUGUGCUAAUACCGCAUACGACCUGAGGGUGAAAGCAGGGGAUCGCAAGACCUUGCGCGACGGGAGCGGCCGAUAUCGGAUUAGCUAGUUGGUGAGGUAAAGGCUCACCAAGGCGACGAUCCGUAGCUGGUCUGAGAGGACGACCAGCCACACUGGAACUGAGACACGGUCCAGACUCCUACGGGAGGCAGCAGUGGGGAAUUUUGGACAAUGGGGGCAACCCUGAUCCAGCCAUUCAGCGUGAGUGUAGUAGGCCUUAGGGUUUUAAAACUCUUUCAGCAGGAACGAUACGUUGAGCUCUUACAUAGCUUGCUAAUGACGUUACCUGAAGAUGAAUCACCGGCU
rnacentral:rRNA from 1 species